rnacentral:rRNA from 1 species
AUUGAACGCUGGCGGCAGGCCUAACACAUGCAAGUCGAGCGGAUGAAGGGAGCUUGCUCCUGGAUUCAGCGGCGGACGGGUGAGUAAUGCCUAGGAAUCUGCCUGGUAGUGGGGGAUAACGUCCGGAAACGGGCGCUAAUACCGCAUACGUCCUGAGGGAGAAAGUGGGGGAUCUUCGGACCUCGCGCUAUCAGAUGAGCCUAGGUCGGAUUAGCUAGUUGGUGGGGUAAAGGCCUACCAAGGCGACGAUCCGUAACUGGUCUGAGAGGAUGAUCAGUCACACUGGAAAUGAGACACGGUACAGACUCCUACGGGAGGCAGCAGUGGGGAAUAUUGGACAAUGGGCGAAAGCCUGAUCCAGCCAUGCCGCGUGUGUGAAGAAGGUCUUCGGAUUGUAAAGCACUUUAAGUUGGGAGGAAGGGCAGUAAGUUAAUACCUUGCUGUUUUGACGUUACCAACAGAAUAAGCACCGGCUAACUUCGUG